GGCCGGUGAUGAGUCGCUGUAACUUCUGACACCUCGUCUGAGCACUGCGCGCGCAGCCUGAUUAUCUCGCGAGACUGAGGCCC